rnacentral:rRNA from 1 species
AUUGAACGCUGGCGGCAGGCCUAACACAUGCAAGUCGAGCGGAUGAAGGGAGCUUGCUCCUGGAUUCAGCGGCGGACGGGUGAGUAAUGCCUAGGAAUCUGCCUGGUAGUGGGGGAUAACGUCCGGAAACGGGCGCUAAUACCGCAUACGUCCUGAGGGAGAAAGUGGGGGAUCUUCGGACCUCACGCUAUCUGAUGAGCCUAGGUCGGAUUAGCUAGUUGGUGGGGUAAAGGCCUACCAAGGCGACGAUCCGUAACUGGUCUGGGAGGGUGAUCAGUCACAAUGGAACUGGGACACGGUCCAGACUCCUACGGGAGGCAGCAGUGGGGAAUAUUGGACAAUGGGCGAAAGCCUGAUCCAGCCAUGCCGCGUGUGUGAAGAAGGUCUUCGGAUUGUAAAGCACUUUAAGUUGGGAGGAAGGGCAGUAAGUUAAUACCUUGCUGUUUUGACGUUACCAACAGAAUAAGCACCGGCUAACUUCGUG